UACGUAGGGUGCAAGCGUUAAUCGGAAUUACUGGGCGUAAAGCGUGCGCAGGCGGUUGUGCAAGAUCGAUGUGAAAUCCCCGGGCUUAACCUGGGAAUGGCAUUGGUGACUGCACGGCUAGAGUGUGUCAGAGGGGGGUAGAAUUCCACGUGUAGCAGUGAAAUGCGUAGAGAUGUGGAGGAAUACCGAUGGCGAAGGCAGCCCCCUGGGAUAACACUGACGCUCAUG
rnacentral:rRNA from 1 species